rnacentral:lncRNA from 1 species
UCAUGUUAAAACUCUCUUUUCGUAAAAUGUUCAUUGUAAAUAUUUGCAUGAUAUUUUGUAUCAAAAUAGCAUGGUGAAUAUGUAAUAAAUUUCAUGAAUGCACACCACACAAACAAUAAGGCACAAUUUCCUUUGAUAUAAAUCUUUUCGAAAAGCUUGUUUCCCGGUUUAAAACACUUUACGUCUAAUAUAUAUAUAUAUAUAUAUAUUCCAAAUGAUUUCUAAAAAU